UAUGCUUUGGGGAGCUGUACGUAAGCGUUGAUCCAGAGAUUUCCGAAUGGGGGAACCCACUAUCUUUAGUCGGAUAGUAUCCUUACGUGAAUACAUAGCGUGAGGAAGGCAGACCCAGGGAACUGAAACAUCUAAGUACCUGGAGGAAGAGAAAGAAAAAUCGAUUUCCUGAGUAGCGGCGAGCGAAACGGAAAGAGCCCAAACCAAGAAGCUUGCUUCUUGGGGUUGUAGGACACUCUAUACGGAGUUACAAAAGAAAGUUAUAAAUGAAGCGGUCUGGAAAGGCCCGCCAAAGACGGUAACAGCCCGGUAGUUGAAAUGGCUUUCCCUCCAGAGUGGAUCCUGAGUACGGCGGAACACGUGAAAUUCCGUCGGAAUCCGGGAGGACCAUCUCCCAAGGCUAAAUACUCCCUAGUGACCGAUAGUGAACCAGUACCGUGAGGGAAAGGUGAAAAGCACCCCGGAAGGGGAGUGAAACAGUUCCUGAAACCGUGUGCCUACAAGUAGUUAGAGCCCGUUAAUGGGUGAUAGCGUGCCUUUUGUAGAAUGAACCGGCGAGUUACGAUUUGUUGCAAGGUUAAGCGGAAAAAGCGGAGCCGUAGCGAAAGCGAGUCUGAAUAGGGCGCAUAAGUAACAGGUCGUAGACCCGAAACCAGGUGAUCUACCCAUGUCCAGGAUGAAGGUAAGGUAAUACUUACUGGAGGUCCGAACCCACGCACGUUGAAAAGUGCGGGGAUGAGGUGUGGGUAGCGGAGAAAUUCCAAUCGAACUUGGAGAUAGCUGGUUCUCUCCGAAAUAGCUUUAGGGCUAGCCUCGAGGUAAAGAGUCAUGGAGGUAGAGCACUGUUUGGACUAGGGGCCCUUCUCGGGUUACCGAAUUCAGAUAAACUCCGAAUGCCAUGUACUUAUACUCGGGAGUCAGACUGCGAGUGAUAAGAUCCGUAGUCGAAAGGGAAACAGCCCAGACCACCAGUUAAGGUCCCCAAAUAUAUGUUAAGUGGAAAAGGAUGUGGGGUUGCUUAGACAACCAGGAUGUUGGCUUAGAAGCAGCCACCAUUGAAAGAGUGCGUAAUAGCUCACUGGUCGAGUGACCCCGCGCCGAAAAUGUACCGGGGCUAAACAUAUUACC
rnacentral:rRNA from 1 species